rnacentral:rRNA from 1 species
GUGUAACGGUGGAAUGUGUAGAUAUCGGGAAGAACACCAAUGGCGAAGGCAGGUCUCUGGGCCGUCACUGACGCUGAGGAGCGAAAGCGUGGGGAGCGAACAGGAUUAGAUACCCUGGUAGUCCACGCCGUAAACGGUGGAUGCUGGAUGUGGGGCCCUUUCCACGGGUUCCGUGUCGGAGCUAACGCGUUAAGCAUCCCGCCUGGGGAGUACGGCCGCAAGGCUAAAACUCAAAGAAAUUGACGGGGGCCCGCACAAGCGGCGGAGCAUGCGGAUUAAUUCGAUGCAACGCGAAGAACCUUACCUGGGCUUGACAUGUUCUCGACCGCCUCAGAGAUGGGGCUUCCCUUCGGGGCGGGAUCACAGGUGGUGCAUGGUUGUCGUCAGCUCGUGUCGUGAGAUGUUGGGUUAAGUCCCGCAACGAGCGCAACCCUCGCCUUGUGUUGCCAGCGGGUCAUGCCGGGAACUCACAAGGGACCGCCGGGGUUAACUCGGAGGAAGGUGGGGAUGACGUCAAAUCAUCAUGCCCCUUACGUCCAGGGCUUCACGCAUGCUACAAUGGCCGGCACAGCGGGAUGCGAUGGCGCGAGCCGGAGCGGAUCCUGUAAAACCGGUCUCAGUUCGGAUCGGAGCCUGCAACCCGGCUCCGUGAAGGUGGAGUCGCUAGUAAUCGCGGAUCAGCAACGCCGCGGUGAAUGCGUUCCCGGGCCUUGUACACACCGCCCGUCAAGUCAUGAAAGUGGGCAACACCCGAAGCCGAUGGCCCAUCCCUCGUGGGGGGAGUCGUCGAAGGUGGGGCUCGCGAUUGGGACUAAGUCGUAACAAGGUAACCGUA